UAGUCCACGCCGUAAACGAUGAUCACUAAGUGUGGGGGGUCGAACCUCCGUGCUCAAGCUAACGCGAUAAGUGAUCCGCCUGGGGAGUACGCACGCAAGUGUGAAACUCAAAGGAAUUGAUGGGGACCCGCACAAGCGGUGGAGCAUGUGGUUUAAUUCGACGCAACGCGAGGAACCUUACCAGCCCUUGACAUCCUCAGAACUUAGCAGAGAUGCUUUGGUGCCACUUCGGUGGAACUGAGUGACAGGUGGUGCAUGGCUGUCGUCAGCUCGUGUCGUGAGAUGUUGGGUUAAGUCCCGCAACGAGCGCAACCCUUGUCUUUAGUUGCCAUCAUUUAGUUGGGCACUCUAGAGAAACUGCCGGUGACAAACCGGAGGAAGGUAAGGAUGACGUCAAGUCAGCAUGCCCCUUACGCUCUGGGCUACACACGUGCUACAAUGGUCGUGACAAAGAGUUGCUAGUCUGCGAAGGCAAGCCAAUCUCAUAAACGC
rnacentral:rRNA from 1 species